rnacentral:rRNA from 1 species
GAUGAACGCUGGCGGCGUGCCUAAUACAUGCAAGUCGAGCGGAAAGGCCCUUCGGGGUACUCGAGCGGCGGACGGCUGAGUAACGCGUAGGAACGUACCCCAAAGUGGGGGAUAACUGCUCGAAAGAGUAGCUAAUACCGCAUGUGCUCUUCGGAGUAAAGCUUCGGCGCUUUGGGAACGGCCUGCGUCCUAUUAGCUAGUUGGUGAGGUAAUUGCUCACCAAGGCGACGAUAGGUAGCUGGUCUGAGAGGAUGAUCAGCCAGACUGGGACUGAGACACGGCCCAGACUCCUACGGGAGGCAGCAGUAGGGAAUUUUCCACAAUGGGCGAAAGCCUAAUGGAGCAACGCCGCGUGCAGGAUGAAUGCCUUCGGGUUGUAAACUGCUUUUAUAGGUGAAGAAUAUGACGGUAACCUAUGAAUAAGGAUCGGCUAACUCCGUGCCAGCCGCCGCAGUAA